CGGGUCCCCUCGCAUGCGCGUCCCGGAAACCUGGUCAGGUCGGGAACGAAGCAGCCAUACCGGUGUGCGUGCAGUGCCGAGGACAAGGCUCG
rnacentral:SRP_RNA from 1 species